rnacentral:rRNA from 1 species
UACGUAGGGACCAAGCGUUGUCCGGAAUCAUUGGGCGUAAAGAGCGUGUAGGCGGCCUGUUAAGUCUUGCGUGAAAUCUCGGGGCUCAACCUCGAGACGCCGAUGGAAACCAUCUGACUAGAGUCCGGAAGAGGAGAGUGGAAUUCCCGGUGUAGCGGUGAAAUGCGCAGAUAUCGGGAGGAACACCAAUGGCGAAGGCAGCUCGCUGGGACGUGACUGACGCUGAGACGCGAAAGCGUGGGGAGCAAACAGG